GUUGUAGGGGGCAGGGAGUGGGGGAAUGAGGUGGGAGGAUAUUGGGGAAACCAUCAGAGGUUACUUGAGUGCACAGUGAAGGAGACAAAGAAAACAGAAGGAUGGAGAGAUCAAGGAGAAAAGGAAAGAUAAUGUGAUGAUGAGGAGGAGUGUGGAAUCUUGCAGAGGAGCCACAGGACAGGGACCACACAGACAAGAAUGGAGCAGCAGUGUGGGACAAGCAAGCACAUUACAGGGACCACGUGGUCGAGGACACAGCUGGAAAGCAGACAUAAGCAGCACCAGGGGCACUUCCAGCACCGCUAAAGCCACGGGCUCCACUGCCACAGUCGCUGGAUCGUUUCAGACAAUUGGUGCCGAGGACAUCUGAGGCUCCAACCCCUUUCCUAGACUAUCUGUGGAGGAUCCCAUUCAAUAUCUGGCAGGCUGUAUGAAAAAUUCUUUGGACCCCGCCACCUGGGAGGCAGGCUUACAGUAAGGUCCGUCCAGCUGACAGAGGGCACCAAUUCCGAUUAGAAGAAAGGAGGUUCCUUCUAAAUAUUCACAAGGGUUUUUUUUU